UUGGGAGAUGAUUAUAAGCAACCGGUGAUCGUUAGUAGGUUGCUCACCCCUUUGAAGAAGGAGGAAAAGAGGAGCCGAGUGGAAUCAAAUUUGAAGUAUCCUCCCUAACUUGAAUGAUGGUGCGUCGAGCUCGGGACGUUAAACACGCGCUUCAUGGGAGGCAACCCAUGUGAUCUCUAUGGUCCAUUUCUAUCCUUUUUCUCUCUCUUUCUCUUUAAGUACUUUUAUCUUUUCAUUUUAGUGUCUAUAAUAAUUGACUGAUCUUGGAUGACUGUGAUGAUCACUUGCACAUUUUACUUUGUUUUUUUUAAUGAGCACCUUUAUCUUUUGGAAAGUCCCAUUUGUUUGACACCAUCUUUUCAUUCACUUCUAUAUACAAUUAUCUUGGUUUUUAAUUUGAGCAUCUGGAAUGAAAUUUCUUGCGGUGCAACAGAUUUUUGCGAUUGGUGGAUUGAAAGACAAGCUGAUGAACAUUCACAAUUUUGCCAGUUCGAUAAUCCGGCCGUUUAAACCGUGAGAUUUUGAGCCUAAACACUUGGAUUGUUUCUCGCUAUGUGAGUCCACUACUUUAUUUAUUCUCUAGAACUUGCUUGCGUUCUUUUAAUUAAUUGAUUGCGAUG
rnacentral:lncRNA from 1 species